rnacentral:rRNA from 1 species
CCUACGGGAGGCAGCAGUGAGGAAUAUUGGUCAAUGGGCGCGAGCCUGAACCAGCCAAGUAGCGUGAAGGAUGACGGCCCUACGGGUUGUAAACUUCUUUUAUAAAGGAAUAAAGUGAGGCACGUGUGCCUUUUUGUAUGGACGUUAUGAAUAAGGAUCGGCUAACUCCGUGCCAGCAGCCGCGGUAAGACGGAGGAUCCGAGCGUUCUCCGGAUUUAGUGGGGUUAAAGGGAGCGUAGAGGGGUUGUUAAGUCAGUUGUGAAAGUUUGCGGCUCAACCGUAAAAUUGCAUUUGAUACGGGCAGUCUUGCGUACAGUUUAGGUAGGCGGCUUUCGUGGUGUAGCGGU